rnacentral:rRNA from 1 species
CGUAGGGACCAAGCGUUGUUCGGAUUUACUGGGCGUAAAGGGCGCGUAGGCGGCUUGUCAAGUCACUUGUGAAAUCUCUGGGCUUAACCCAGAACGGCCAAGUGAAACUGACAUGCUAGAGUGCAGAAGGGGCAAUCGGAAUUCUUGGUGUAGCGGUGAAAUGCGUAGAUAUCAAGAGGAACACCUGAGGUGAAGACGGGUUGCUGGGCUGACACUGACGCUGAGGCGCGAAAGCCAGGGGAGCAAACGGGAUUAGAUACCCCGGUAGUCCUGGCCCUAAACGAUGAAUACUUGGUGUCUGGAGUUAUUAGUGCUCCGGGUGCCGUCGCUAACGUUUUUAGUAUUCCGCCUGGGGAGUACGCUCGCAAGAGUG